rnacentral:rRNA from 1 species
UACGUAGGGGGCGAGCGUUGUCCGGAGUUACUGGGCGUAAAGGGUGCGCAGGCGGCCUGGCAAGUUUGCGGUGAAAGCGCCUGGCUCAACUAGGCGAGGGCCGUGAAGACUGUCCGGCUGGAGGCUCGGAGAGGGACGUGGAAUUCCGGGUGGAGCGGUGAAAUGCAUAGAGAUCCGGAAGAACACCGAUGGCGCAGGCAGCGUCCUGGCCGAGACCUGACGCUCAGGCACGAAAGCGCGGGGAGCAAACAGG